rnacentral:lncRNA from 1 species
CCCAUUAAUCUAACAAAAUUGAAAGGUUCAUGUUAUAUCAGCGCAUGACCAUUUAUACGAUUCCUUCUUUUUUCAGUUCAAUUAUACAAACAAAAAAAAUUAAAACAGUUCACAGAGAAAAAACAAACAAAAUAGACCAGAUUGUCUACUAUCUACUUUAUUGAAGCGGUUGGAUUUUAUUGUUGCAUUUCAACUUCAAAGCUUUAUUACUACAAGAUUCGAAUGUGUACCUGGAGUUCGAAUUACAAAUAGAGAGAAAAGAGGUCAGGAGUAACAAUGUACACCAGUAGCACAGCAACAGAAUCCCACAGCAAAUAACAGCAACAAAAACCAGCAAUAACCAGUGUAAUAAUGGUCAGAACCAAACUGGAAAACCCCGGAAAGCCUGACUAAAAAUUAGUAACACUAAACGCAAUCCACAGAGGCAGUAACAAAGUUCUGAUUUCAGUAGUAAAGAAAAGGAUCUCACUUUCAAUAUUUAGCUCUCAAAGACUGACUUUUAAUUCUAAAAAAUUAGCCUAUUUCUCACUUUGAAGUUUCUGAAAAUUUUUUCUUCUCUAAAUUUCCAGUCCUCUUCUCUAUAUCAACUCCCCUUAUUUAUAGGCUAGAACUAAACAUUAUUUAUUCAAAGCUUUUCACUUUCAGCCUGUAUAUUCCCUCCCAUGUGCAUCUAUACACUUUUAUCAUUAAUCUCAUGCUUAUUUUCUGAUUUUCCAUCCUUAAAGAUACCAGACAGGGUGUAUUCUGCACUACUAAUUCCCUUUUCAUUAAAUAAUUCAUUAAUUAUACACUGAAUAUUAACUGGAAGACUACUAACACUAAUCAUUUUAAAUCUUUUAACACCCAAAAAUACCCCUGAAAAUCCCCUAUUAUUAUUGCCUUGCACUCACUCUUAGCAAUAUGUAUUUAAACCUCUCUGAUUUACAACUACACCAAAUUACUACACAACUACAACCAAUCCUUAAGUCAAAUUCACACAAAAGAUUCAAGCAUCAAAACAGACUUAAGAAGUGAUUCAUGUUGUAUUCGUCCAAACAAAGCAGUCAUAAACUAACUAUUCGACGAAGUUGUUCAAAUCGAAGGUAGCUUAUAACACACACUCAAACAAACAGAAGAAAAACCUUGACCAAAUAAAAGGUCUUGAAGAAGAAGGAGAACUAACGAACAAGACAACAUUUACAAAAAUAAACACUUUAAACAAAGAUUCAAUAAUCCGAAAAAUAGAACGAACAAAACAAGAUUACGAACAACACUUAAAACCAAAAAACCCUAACGGAAAAUAAAUCAAAGGAACUAAAUAAUCUUGAAAGAAAAAUCUAAAACUUGAACGAACCUAAGUCGAACUCGGAGUUGAACUAUUGGAGAUCAAACGGACUGUUUUGUGGACGUUGAAAAAGGACGAAGCAGAAGCUGGACAUUUGGACUGUGGCGGAUUAGUAUGGAGGGGCGAGGGUGUCGUGAGGAGUAGCAACGGCAACAGCUGGACAGCGGGGUUUGGUGGUGAGCUGCAGCGGCGUCGCGGCAGUGCUGCUGGACGGAAGCUGGGCAGCAGGGUCGAGGGGCAACGACGGAUGAAGCAGAAGGCAGAAGCAGCUACGACGAGCAGCUGGGGACGAUGGUGAUGACGUGAUACGGGUUGUGGUCGUCGGACUGUUUGGUUCACUGUUGUGCGCGAGGAAGCGACGAGCUAUUGGUUUUUCCGGCGAUGCAAGGGGUCGUUUGCUGGUUGUUACAG